AUACGAAGGGGGCUAGCGUUGUUCGGAAUUACUGGGCGUAAAGCGCACGUAGGCGGACAUUUAAGUCAGGGGUGAAAUCCCGGGGCUCAACCCCGGAACUGCCUUUGAUACUGGGUGUCUAGAGUAUGGAAGAGGUGAGUGGAAUUCCGAGUGUAGAGGUGAAAUUCGUAGAUAUUCGGAGGAACACCAGUGGCGAAGGCGGCUCACUGGUCCAUUACUGACGCUGAGGUGCGAAAGCGUGGGGAGCAAACAGGAUUAGAAACCCCAGUAGUCC
rnacentral:rRNA from 1 species